AGGAUUAACGCUGGCGGCGUGCCUAACACAUGCAAGUCGAACGAGGUAGCAAUACCUAGUGGCAGACGGGUGAGUAGCGCGUGGUCAACCUACCGUUGAGUGGGGGAUAACUAGCCGAAAGGUUAGCUAAUACCGCAUACGUCUCCGAGGGGCAUCCCUUGGCGAUAAAAGGAGCAAUCCGCUCGAUGACGGGACCGCGUCCCAUUAGCUAGUUGGUGGGGUAACGGCCUACCAAGGCGUCGAUGGGUAGCUGGUUUGAGAGAGCGACCAGCCACACUGGGACUGAGAUACGGCCCAGACUCCUACGGGAGGCAGCAGUGAGGAAUUUUCCGCAAUGGGCGAAAGCCUGACGGAGCGACGCCGCGUGUGGGAGAAGGCCUUCGGGUCGUAAACCACUGUCGAAGGGGAGAUAAUGACGGUACCCUUGGAGGAAGCCCGGCUAACUACGCGCCAGCAGCCGC
rnacentral:rRNA from 1 species